rnacentral:sRNA from 1 species
ACUUUUGCUGCUCCCUCUGCCUGGAAUGUUCUUCCCUAUGGAUGUGAUUCAUUCUUUCACUCUUUUCAGGUCUCUGCUCAAAUACCACAUCCUCAGUGUGAUCCUGUUCCUUGACUGCUCCAGGCAUGCUCCUGCAUCAGGAUCUAUCUGCCUGGAGCUCUUCCCCUAGGUAUCCCUCACUGCUCAAACUUCCCCAUUGAGAAGCCUCCUCGGACCCCCACUACCAUUGUCCUCAGCACUCCCCGCCUCCCUCACUCUGCUUUUUCCCCACAGCAUUUGCCACCAUCUGCUCUGUAUUCCCUCCCCUGUGCCUCUCACCCAGCGGAUGUCAGCACAUGUGGACGCCACACAGCAGGGACUCUGCUCUUCCGUUCAGUUCACUGACAUAUCCCCAGGACCUAAACAGUGCUUGACAUAUAGUAGAUACCCAGUAAAUAUGUGAUAGGAGCAUGCUGCUAUGUGGAAUGUUCAGCUUUAACCCAGAAGGGAUUGAAGACUGUUUUUGAUGAGGCUAUCAUAGCCAUUUUAACUCCAAAGAAACACACUGUAAAAAAAAGAAU